rnacentral:misc_RNA from 1 species
AACUUUUAGCAAUGUAUCUCUUGGUUCUCGCAUCGAUUAAGAACGCAGCGAAAUGCGAUAAGUAGUGUGAAUUGCAGAAACUAGUGAAUCAUUGAAUCUUUGAACGCACAUUGCGCCUCCUGGUAUUCCGGGAGGCAUGCCUGUUCGAGCGUCAUUAAAAACCACUCAAGCUCUUUUGCUUGGUCAUGGAAGAAGAGUUUGCUUGCAAUCUCUCCUCCGAAAUUCAAAGGCGGAAAGUCUCAGAGCCCCGGCGUAGUAAUAAUAUUUCGCUUGGAACUUGAAAUGAUCCUGCCCUUAACCCCCAAUUUAUCUAGGUUGACCUCGGAUCAGGUAGGGAUACCCGCUGAACUUAAGCAUAUCAAUAAGCGGAGGCU